ACAUACACAUACUCAAAAUCAGACUUUCAACUUUUCUCCCUCCAUGGCGCUGUUACCUCUUUUCCAAGAAAGAGCUCUAAUGAGACCACAAUUCCUCCCUCUCUUUCUUCUCUUCUCUCCCUUUUUCCCCCUGUUCACCAUCAUUGACUCGCCGUAUUUGUUGACUGGCGAAGCUUCCGACUACUUCCAUUGCCACCAUUGCAUUGUCACCCUUCACCCUAUUUUUAUGCUUUAUUUUUUAUAUUUUUACAGAUCUGACAGGUUGUUGUAUUUUCGGCAUUCGCUGUUGAAGCAACGCUUUCCAUUCCUCUAUUGUUAACACCAUAUCUGGCCGAAAAAUACUUCACUGGUGAUGUCUUUUUCUUUAUAUAUAUAUUAUUGCUAUUAUUUUUAUGUAUGUUUAUACAUUCUUGAAACUUACAAGUUUAUUUGUCGCAUGUUAAAUUAGUCGUAUGUAAUUGCUUUCUAGUUUCAACUUAGUAUUACUGAGAGUUGAUCAUUCCGUUUUAAUAUGUUGCAUCUUCUUUGAGUUUUGGCGUGUAUGUUGAGGAGAUAUAGCUUUGGAUUUUUUUCUUGAUUGUAAGAAUGCCAAUAUGAAAGUACAUUACAUUCUUUUGUCUAAAUGGUAGUAUAAUGUUUGUCCUAAAUCCUAAUAGAUGUAUUUCUUUAUUCAGAUAUUAUAUUCUUGGGAUUAGCCUAUUAAUUAUUGAUUUCAUGAGUUGUUAGAUUUAGAUAAUAUUAUACAAUGUUUCCUUGUUAAUAUUUAGGUUUUUGGUUUCAAAUAAAUCAGUGUGUAUGUUAUAUGUCUUUUAAAGAUUUACCUUUUAUUAUUUCAUCUGAUUUUGUGUUUGAAAACUAUUACACAAAAGUGGCUAAUAAAGAACUCCCAUCGAUUUUUGAGGCCUCUCCAAAUAAAAAGAUGGUCAUAUGUAUAAAUACAUAAAAAUAAAUAAUUUGGACAAUGAUGAAAUACUUAUAAUAUCACGAUAAUACAAAAGGUUUUACGAUUCGUAUCUUGGCAAGGGGAUUUAGGACGCUCGAUAAAUCGAACAACCACUUUGUAGCCAUGGCAUAUCUAAAACUAUAUUCGAGUCCACUCUUUAACAAAAAAAAUAUAUUUUUAUAUACAUUUAUAAAAAUAUAUUUUUAUAGACAUUUGUUAAAUAUAAAGUAUUAUAAGGACAAUACUUCUCCUCCAUAUAAGAAAAAUAAUUUUAUUUUCAUAUAUUACAUAGAAUACUUUCUUUUUAUGAAACACUUUUCUUUUUCAUACAUAUUCUUAUACACUUUUGCUUAUAUAUCUUCAUAUACAUUUUAUACACAUAUUUUUAUAACAAUAUAUGUAAUUUAUACACACUCUUUACAUAUAAUUAUUUAUUUUAUUUUAAUACACAUUUUAUAUAUUUGUACGUACAAGCAUUCAUUGUUUCCUCCCUCUUUUGAUAAAUUUAGUCUGGUCGAGAACCACAUUUGUGGAUUUUGAAGGAUGCCUAACCCCUUUUCUUUGAAAUAAUUUGAACCCUUAUCUAUAAUAUAAACUGAUUUUUGCAGAUUGAAAUGCAAGUCAUACAUGUUAAUAAUUAAAUAGGUUUUCUUAUUUUUCUUAAAAUUGGAUGGCGGUUCUAUACAAAAAUCAAUUCUUUAAGAGAUCAUAAGUCAUGCUUGAUUUAACCUCGAUAAAAAUAGGACAUGACAAAGGCUAUUCCGUGUAAAUGGGUGUAUAAGAUCAAACAAAGAUCUGAUGACACUAUUGAGAGGUAUAAGCUUAGAUUAUUUUUUAAGAGGUAAUACUCAAAAAAAGGGCAUUGACUACCAUCAUACUUUCUCACAUAUGGUCAAAUUUACUAUUGUAAAUGUCUUUUAUCACUUGCUACCAAGAACCAUUAGAUAGUUUUACAGUUAUAUGUCAAUAAUGCUUUUCUCCAUGGAUCUCCAAAGGUUGUUUAUAUGAAGGUCGCUCCUAGCCUUGAGAUUACUUCUUAUUCUGCCUCUCCUUUAGUUUAUAAGCUCAGAAAGUCUUUAUAUGACCUCAAAUAAGCGUUCAUACAAUGGUUUUCUAAAUUGUCUAAAGCCUUGUUAUCUAGAGGCUACAUUACAACAAAAAUGAUUACUCUCUCUUUACCAAGUUGUCGGUGCUUCUUUGGUUAUUCUUAUGAUUUAUGUGGAUGAUAUAUUACUUGGUUGUUUUGAUAUUCGUAAAAUAACCAUCCUUAAAUCUUUUCUAGAUCAUCAGUUCAAGAUUAAUGAUUUGGGGUUGGUUCGUUAUUUUUUGGGUUUGGAAAUUAUUGCACAUGCCUCAGGAUACCUCAUGAAUCAACAUAAAUAUGUUGCUGAUCUAUUGGAAGAGUUUCAUUAUUUCAAUUAUAGUCAUAUUACUUCUCCUAUAGAUGCCUUUGUCAAGUUGACUCCUGAUAUAGGUGAUUCUUUGCCUGAUUUUACUUCUUAUAGGAGGCUUGCUAGGAAGUUUAAUUUUCUACAACAUACUAGGCUUGAUAUUUCUUUUGCUAUGCAACAUAUUAGUCAAUACCUUUAUCACCCUUGUGUUCCUCAUAUGAAGGUCGGUUUGCAUGUUUUGAGGUACAUCAUGACUGCCCCUGAUCAGGGCAUUUUUUUAUCAUUUUCUCCUUGCUUGUUUAUUUUAGCUUAUGCUGACUCUGACUGGUCUGCUUGCCCUCUAUCAAUGAGGUCUGUCACCAGUUAUUUCAUUAUUUUUUGUACAUUUUCUGUUUCUUAGAAGAGCGAGAAAAAAAUUUAAAAUUGGUCUUUGCUUUGCUAAAGCUGAAUAUAAAGCCUUAAGCAAAGAUGUGGCUGAGGUUGUCUAGCUUACUGAUUUAUUUGCUUAUCUUGGUUUAACCAUUUCUUCUCCUAUAACGUAUUUUGGAUAGUCAAACUGCUUUACAUAUUGCUAAAAAUAUAGUGUUUCAUGAGCGUACGAAAUAUAUUGAGAUCAAUUUUCAUUAUUUUUAAGAUUUUGUUUUUUCUGAUGUUAAUUCACUUUAUUAUGUUUCUUCUGCUGAUCAGUUGACUAACAGUAUGACUAAGCCUUUGGCAUCAUCAUUCACUUUUGCACAAGCUGGGAAUUCUUACACCCUCCAGCUUGAGAGUGGGUGUUGACACAGGCCUAAGUCAUAGCCCACCUCCACAUAAGGUUCCAGGCCUAACUUGAUUUAACUGUAUUUUUUUUUAUUUUAUUUUUUUUUAUAAAUAAGACUAAAGGGCUCUUCUAGAAAAAGGGAUCAAAUAUUUUUUCUCACAUUGAAUAACAGAGCUUUCUCUCUCUGUCUUUUCUAUUUUCUAUGGUUUUUUCAUUUCAUAUUAAUGUUCCGAUCUAGAGCCGUUAAGCUCUAACAUUAUAUUCCUGAUUGCUUGAUAUACUAUCUUACUGGAGAGGAAUAGUAUUUUUUUGUUUCCAUUUUGCAUGCACAUCUCUGCUUUCAAUAGUUUUCAUCAUAUGAUGAUUGGGGUGGUCUUCAUGUGAUUCAUAUGAAUAGAGUUCUCAUCUUUAUAUAUUCCACCAACUUGUAAAAUGUUGACAGUAGGUUGAUUCCAUGUUGUAUUCCAAGAGGAUUGCUAAUGGCAUUUCAAAACUGUCUAGCUGCAUCAAUCUAUUUAAUCUUCUAAUCCAUCUCUGAGAAGAAACUCUUGGAGAAUACAAGUUGAAAAUAAGCACAAUUAUAUUUUGUCUGAAUUAGGCUUAUAAUGCCUUGUUUAAAUUAUUUUUCCAGUGCUCAUAAAAUAUUUCAAAAUAUUACAUUUUGUUCUUACUUAUUGUGCUUGUGAUGUUGAAAAACAUUUUUCAAUAUAUAUUCCUGAUGUCAUGAGUUAAAUCACCACAAAUGUUUCAUAUAUGAUGAGUAUAUAUAACCUAGUAUAUACAUCAACCGUCCAAGUAAUAAUAUGAUGAAUGUGUAAUGUCAAUUUCAUAAAAAAUGGUAAAAUUAAAAAAGCAAUAUGAUUAUUCUAUGGUGUUUUUGAGAAAUUGAAUAUAAGAUAUAGAUGGAUUACAUCUAAUGCUUAAAGCAAGAUAUAGUACUAAAAAAUAUAUUAUACUUCACUUGUUAAUUGAGAGAAAUUGGGAGGGCACCCACUGUCAAGACUUAAUUAGGCUUAUGGCCACCUUUUUUUUUUUUUAUUCAACUUUUAGUGUUUUAGUAAAAGGGUGAAAAAGUAGUGGGGUCAUUAGUUUAAUAAAUUCUACCUUUGUCUCCUAAAAGUCAAUAGUAAUCUACCUAGGUUCAGUUACUACUUUCUAAUUUUUACACAACUCUCAACUCCUUCUUUACUCAUUUACAAACUCCUGCUUUCUCCUCUCUCACUCUCUCUCUCACCCUCUUCCCCAACUAUUCAACUCCGUUUUUUCUUCUCUCUCAAGGUCAAAACUUCAAAUUUGUCGUUACCAGGUAAGUCAUUAUCUUCUUCUGAACAGUUUUUGGAGUCUUUUAUGGUGGUUUUAUUUGUUUUUUAAGAAGGUUUUUUGAAUGCAAUCAGGUUUGUUGUGAAGAUUUUAAAAUAAUAUGAGUAUUCUGAUGCUGGAAUUUCUUGUUAAUGUGUUAUAACAACAAUGGUAGUUUUUUUUUAUGAAGUAUAGAUUUUUGUUUUAAAAUUUUAUUGAUUAAUGACUAUAUAUAUUUAGGAUUUUUUAGAAAUAAAUUUGUAUUCUGUAUCGUAUAUGAAUGUCGAUUGAUGUAGAUAAUGAAAUUUUUCUAGAUAAUGAUGUGUAAUUUUUUAAUUCUUGUUCUUGACCUUGUGGUCGAUUAAUUUUAAUGUAAAUGGUAUUCAAUUUCUCGUAGAUCAUAAGAAAUGGUUAGAAGAGUAGCAAGAGUAGCGAAGGGGCAAAGAAAGCUUUUACUCCUUCUAGUAUGACAAGAAGUACCACUAAACUAAAGCGAGAUGCGAAAAAAAAUCUUCACCAUCUGAACAUUCGUUGAAUUCAAAAAUAACGGAGGAAGUUGAUAAGUAUGUUGAUGAACUAAGUGGUUAGGCUAGUGAGACCGAAUUAGAUAGUGGUAGUGGGGCUCGUGGAGAUGGUGCUAGGGGUAGUAGUAGUAGUGGAGGAGGGGAUAGCUUUCCAUAUAGUUGUAGGUAUGAAAAUGAGUUUGAUGAUCCUCUGUGUGUUCUAGAGUAUUCACUAGGCCUUAAUGGUAAAAAUUAUGGUAUUUUUAUCUAUAUAGAUGAACUUGAAUCAUUCCCAACAAAAAUUUCUAUUAGGUCUAGGGAGAAACAUUUUUACCAAUUUAAGAGACUUUUAGUUGGGCAGAAACUCUUUUGUAGGUUUCAAAAUUCUUGUUUUUGUCAGUUUGAUGAAAUUUCAGACCAUUUGAAAUUUCAUGGACAGUUCGUCCAUCACAUGCUUCUUCAUCAUGUCAAAUCUAACUUUAAAGUUCAUGAGAUGUAGUUUUCCAUUAAUGGUAGGCCUGUUUAUUUUGACUUGAUUGUGUAUGCUUUAAUUAUGGAAUUAAGGAGUUCAACAUAUUCUAGUGAAUCAAAAUUGUUAAAGCUGUAUAGGGAUUGAAAGAGAUUUUGCUAUAGAAUUAGCCGCAACAAAAGGAUUACUACAACAAGCCUUUUAAAUUUGGUUAAAGGAAAGAGGCCGAAGCAGAAGGACAAGUUGAAGUGUUGUUUGAUUUGGUUCUUGCAUUUACUAUUGCUAGCAAGAGAUGUUUAGCAGUUGAUCGAAACUUCAUAAAAAUAAUCUAUUCUCAUGAUUUUUUAAGAAAUUCCCAUGGAGAUAGGAGUCCGUUGCAUUGAUAUUGGACUACUUAAAGAAGAAGAUGGCACACAUAAAGAAGCAUAAAAGACAUCUUGAGAGGAGAAUGAUGCAUCUUAUGCUCAAUUUUGAUUCCUCUGGACAUUAAUGCUGGACAUCAAUUUGUGAUGAUGGACAAUUCAAAUACAACUUGGAAUUUUUUUACAAGAAGUGGAGAAAUUACCUGGACAUCAAUGUACAAUUUUUGGUCAACCUGGGAGAAGAGCUGGUCAACUUUGAAACCAUAUAUGAUUGGACAGCUUCGGAUAUUUUUGGGGAAACAACUGGACAUUAUUUUGAUGAAAAGCGGAGGUUUUAAUUAUUUUUAUUUAGUUUGAAUUUUUCAUAUCAUGUAUCCAAAUAUUUGGAUCGUGAUUAUGAAUAUUAGUGGCUAAAAUCGCCCUCUCCGGUGUUAAAGUCAGGAACAUAAGUAUUAUUGUUUUGGAUUAAAUUUGUUAAUUUUGCUUAUCA